rnacentral:rRNA from 1 species
CUAAGUGGGUGGUAAACUCCAUCUAAGGCUAAAUAUGACCACGAGACCGAUAGCGAACAAGUACCGWGAGGGAAAGUUGAAAAGAACUUUGAAGAGAGAGUUCAAUAGUACGUGAAACCGUUCAGGGGUAAACGGGAGGGAUCCGGAAGGUCGAACGGGGAGAUUCAAUCCCGUCCGCUCGUCGGCACCCUUUCCGCGAUUCCGGAUGUCGUCGGCCGCCGGCCACACCGCAAGGUGCGCGCCGCGUUAGGUCGUCGGCACCGGCCGGUCGGGUCGUCUGGCGGCGGCGGGCUGCACUUCUCUCCCGGUAGGACGUCGCGACCCGUUGGAUGGGGGUCUAAGGCCCGGGAUGGAGCCCGAGGGGAUCGCCGAGGAAUCUCGGGUUCACGUUCCCCCGGACCCCGGUCGCCCGGCCCCCGUUCGACGGUAGGAAACGAGGAGAUGGCCCGCUCUGGCGAGCGUCCGGCCCGGUGGGCAAGCUCCACGGGUUUGUGCGUGGUGCCGCGGCUAACGCCGNNUCCCCGCCGCCCGCGGGCUGCUGGGCCUCCGGAGUCCUCGGACAGCUUUGGCCGUUCUC